UACGUAGGGUGCAAGCGUUAAUCGGAAUUACUGGGCGUAAAGCGUGCGCAGGCGGUUGUGCAAGACAGAUGUGAAAUCCCCGGGCUCAACCUGGGAACUGCAUUUGUGACUGCACGGCUGGAGUGCGGCAGAGGGGGAUGGAAUUCCGCGUGUAGCAGUGAAAUGCGUAGAUAUCAGGAGGAACACCGAUGGCGAAGGCAGGUCUCUGGGCUGACACUGACGCUCAUGCACGAAAGCGUGGGGAGCAAACAGG
rnacentral:rRNA from 1 species